ACAUGCCUAUAGCAUAGUGUUAAUGCAUCAGAUCCCAUUAGAACUUUGCAGUUAAGUACACUCAAGCUAGAGUAGUACUGGGAUGGGUGACGGUUUGAGAAGUCCUAGUGUUUUACAUGCC
rnacentral:rRNA from 1 species